AGUGAUGUAGUCAUUUAAAAGGAUGACUUGGAAAAACAGUAUGUUUCUUCUUUUGACAUCCUCCCAGGAAUGUCUGCAUCAGCCAACUUGCUUCAAGUGACAAAAGUCAUUACAGAUAAACACAGUGGAUUGUUUAUUUUGGAAAGGGACUGGGGCAUAACUCCUCUGAGUUCCUGACAUACCUCGGAUCCCCCCCACUGCCUGCUGAGCCUGCGCUGGAGCACUCGGAUGGCAAGCCUCUGGAAACAGGAUGCCACGGGGAUCCACGGGGAAGACAAAGCCCCUCAGAAAGGCGAGCAGCCUCGGGCCACUCUAAUUACAAGUCCCUGCACUGCUUGAAGGUACUCAGCUGACAUGCCUGAACUGUGCAAAGACCUUCAAGUGAACUAUUAUACAAAGCUCAAUGUAUCACAUGGUUGCGAAGCAGCUGCUAAGUCUCACUGUAAAUGAGGCACAGAGAUGAUAAGUCACAUACUCUCAUAUACAAUGUGUUUAAGGAAACCCCCACCCUACAGAUUUUACUGCCUUAGGGUAGGAUGAAACUUGGGAGGUGAAGGGGAGGGAGGGGGAUGUGGGAAAGAGUUUUAUGUGAAGACGUUCUAGUCUACAUUAAGGAUGUGUUUACUUCUAGUAGCUUUGGCAAGUUAAUCAUAACAUGCAUUUAAGUUCUUUCAAUAACAUCCCCCAAAGUGGAUUUUUUUUAAAUGUCACUUCCCUGUUUAAACCAGCACAGAACUGUACAUCAAGAUAAGUCUUCCACAUGAGACACAGAAAGCAGUAGUUACUAACAUUUGGCUUUUCCUCUGCUCACUUUGCUUGAAUACAUAGAAGCCUGAAAUGUGUGUUCUCAAUUCAGAUAGGAUGAGUGUAAAUGACAUGCGUUUGAUUGCAGAAAUAUGACAAGCAGAAAGACUGACAUGAUUAAGAAAAAUUCCUGCAAAACAGAAGACAACAGAUGACAUAGUCCACAGUAAUUAAUAUGCUGUUUGUGAUCAUCUUAGAAAAAAUGAUUGAAUUCUUUGGGUAAAGCCUAAUGGCUGCAGGGUAGUGCCUUAAACACACCCAUGAAGGGUUUUCCUAUAACUCAGUGACAAGCUGUGGCCAUAGUCAUUUCUGAAAUCCCAGAUGCAUAGAAAUACAUGGUUGGGUGGGACCUGCAGAAAUCAUCCAGCACUGCGCUGAGAUAGGCUGGGCCAUAGGAAUCAAUUUGAUGCCGAAAUGGGAGCCCAGACCCAUGAGAGCUAUUAAUUCAGACUCUCUGCACUGUCAGUAGGUGGCUCAUCUUUUCAAGAUUUCCCCUUCAUCCAUGACAACAAAAAGUAAAUAUAUGCCUUCCAAAGUGAAAAAAUGUUA
rnacentral:lncRNA from 1 species